rnacentral:rRNA from 1 species
UACGUAGGCAACAAGCGUUGUUCGGAUUCAUUGGGCGUAAAGGGUGCGUAGGCGGCGCGGUAAGUCGGGUGUGAAAUCUCGGAGCUUAACUCCGAAACUGCAUUCGAUACUGCCGUGCUUGAGGACUGGAGAGGAGACUGGAAUUUACGGUGUAGCGGUGAAAUGCGUAGAUAUCGUAAGGAAGACCAGUGGCGAAGGCGGGUCUCUGGACAGUUCCUGACGCUGAGGCACGAAGGCCAGGGGAG